UGGCUUUCAGUUGCCUUCUCACUUCGCAGUCUUCACUCUUCACUGCAUUGGUAGCUCCGUACCCUUACGCAUGCUCAAUCGGUGCUUCGGCGAUCGCUUCAGGUUAACAACCUAAAAUCUCGCUCCUUUAACGGUCCAACUGCCGAUAUUAGUUGGAUUUUGAUCAUACUCGCUUGUUCUGAAUCUCUGAUCGAGACUUUUCCGGCAACUCCACGCAUUCGGCUUGCGGAAAGUCGGAAGCUGAAAGUUCAAUUUCCUUUUCUCUCUAUUGGAGAAGAGCUCGGGAAGAAGAAAUCAAAGACGUGGCUCUUCCAUGGACGUUCGCAGCCCUAAUCAGGGAAUCAUCAUCGUCCCGGACGGGAACUCCUGUAAAGGCAGCGGCUUUAACGAUCCCAUUGAGAUCGAUGACGAGGUCGAGUUUCUCGGAGUGUUG